rnacentral:snRNA from 1 species
UUGCCUUCUCGGCUUUUUAGCUAAGAUCAAGUGUAGUAUCUGUUCUAAUCAGUGUAAAAACUGGUUUCCGACUUUAGUCGGUCUUUUUCACAUUCAUUUUUGGACUUCCCGUCUUACUCGCGUGAGACGGCGCGGUCUUGCACCUCACCCUCGUGAGACCAA